rnacentral:rRNA from 1 species
UUMGUAGGUGAACCUGCGGAAGGAUCAUUA